GACGAACGCUGGCGGCGUGCCUAAUACAUGCAAGUAGAACGCACAGUUUAUACCGUAGCUUGCUACACCAUAGACUGUGAGUUGCGAACGGGUGAGUAACGCGUAGGUAACCUGCCUGGUAGCGGGGGAUAACUAUUGGAAACGAUAGCUAAUACCGCAUAAUAUUAAUUAUUGCAUGAUAAUUAAUUGAAAGGUGCAAUUGCACCACUACCAGAUGGACCUGCGUUGUAUUAGCUAGUAGGUGAGGUAACGGCUCACCUAGGCGACGAUACAUAGCCGACCUGAGAGGGUGAUCGGCCACACUGGGACUGAGACACGGCCCAGACUCCUACGGGAGGCAGCAGUAGGGAAUCUUCGGCAAUGGACGAAAGUCUGACCGAGCAACGCCGCGGGAGUGAAGAAGGGUUUCGGAUCGUAAAGCUCUGUUGUAAGAGAAGAACGGGUGUGAGAGUGGAAAGUUCACACUGUGACGGUAGCUUACCAGAAAGGGACGGCUAAUUACGUG
rnacentral:rRNA from 1 species